rnacentral:rRNA from 1 species
ACGAAGGGGGCUAGCGUUGCUCGGAAUCACUGGGCGUAAAGGGUGCGUAGGCGGGUCUUUAAGUCAGGGGUGAAAUCCUGGAGCUCAACUCCAGAACUGCCUUUGAUACUGAAGAUCUUGAGUUCGGGAGAGGUGAGUGGAACUGCGAGUGUAGAGGUGAAAUUCGUAGAUAUUCGCAAGAACACCAGUGGUGAAGGCGGCUCACUGGCCCGAUACUGACGCUGAGGCACGAAAGCGUGGGGAGCAAACAGG